UACGGAGGGAGCUAGCGUUGUUCGGAAUUACUGGGCGUAAAGCGCGCGUAGGCGGCUUUGUAAGUUAGAGGUGAAAGCCCGGGGCUCAACCCCGGAACUGCCUUUAAGACUGCAUCGCUUGAAUCCAGGAGAGGUGAGUGGAAUUCCGAGUGUAGAGGUGAAAUUCGUAGAUAUUCGGAGGAACACCAGUGGCGAAGGCGGCUCACUGGUCCAUUACUGACGCUGAGGUGCGAAAGCGUGGGGAUCAAACAGG
rnacentral:rRNA from 1 species